rnacentral:lncRNA from 1 species
AAAGGCGGAAUCAUGCUUGCAUGCACUUAAAAACAAAAACAUUAACCAUGAAAUUCAAAGCCUAGUAGAUUGGUGAACCAAAACUCAACUCAAAACAAAGUGAGUUGAAAUUUAUACCUUUGUAGAUUCCUCUUUGCAUAAGCAAAGGCUAAUCACCCAAAGAGAGGGCCUUCAUUCCUUGCAUCUUAAAUCUAUAGAUUUGGAUGGAUGAAUAGGUUUCUCUAAGUUCCCAAAAUAGGGAACCUCUAAGUCUCUUCACCAAGGAGAGAUUGGAGAAGAAAUGAGUGACCUUG